CAUAUAGUUGUGUAUGAGGAAGGAAUAGGCGAUGGCUUGUAUCCGAUCUGACAUAUGUGUCAGCUAGAAUAAAAAGAGUGGCCAAGCCGUCGUUUUCUAUAUGCAUACUAACUUUUAAUCUAGAUAUUUCGUUUUCGGCAGUGAGGUGUUUAAUAUUUUUUCAGUAUUCCGCGAAAUUUGUUGACGAUAGUCUCUGUUGUAUUUGAGAAUCUAUUUAUUGUUUAUACAUGGCCGUCGUGAGAGGGAGCUCAAAGGACCAAAUGAAUGCGAGCAAAAAAUCAAUCUUGUUUUUAAUCAGUCCAUAUCUAGAAUAAAAAUACCUUUUAAUUGGAUUUGUCGCCGGUGAAAUAUGCUUGCAUACUGAUUUCCUCAUUGAAGAAACCAUAUUCAAGCAUUACUGUAUAGUUCCUCAUAUUCCUGGCGGAUUAAAUUUAAUUAAAUAUUGUCUGAGUGAAACGAAAUCUAACCGGUACAUGGCAACUCUAGCACCACGAAACUAAACACUAUUAUUAUAACAUAAUUACAGUUAUAUAACACCAGUUCAUUGUUUAGAUGCAGGUAAGGAUCUCCUCAGCUGCUUGACCCCUGUUUGAUGUUUGACCCCGCAAAAUUAUACAGUAUAAUCAUAACAUAAUUACAGUUACAUUACACCAGUUCAUUGUUUAGAAAUUUAACAGUUGUUUUGGGGUACAAAGACUUGAUGGAUCAAUGCAGGUAAGGAUCUCCUCAGCUGCUUGACCCCGUGUUCGAUGUUUUCCUGAUAUUAUUCAUAUUAUGAUAAUAAUGAUUGUAAAAUUUCUAAUGUAGAAACGAUUAUAGUUCAAAAUAAUGAUUAUUUGAUUUUCUAGUGGAUGGUUGAUUUAAGGACUAUUUUCGUUUAUAUUAGUAUUAAAAUUGUAGAACCAACAGUCGUACACAUGUCAGGGUUAUAUUGUCUUUAAAAUAGCUCUCAUAACCAGAACAAAUGAGAAAACUUAUUUAUAUGGCUGGUGUCUUGAAGAAUUUCAGUCGUAUAUCUUUAUAUAUGAAAUUAUUUAAUUGCGUGGGGCCUGAGCCCCACGCAGGUAAUACAUCGGCGAGUUAAGAAAUUUGAUCACUUUUGCCAAUGGGGAAAAGCGAGUUUGCGCAUGUGCUAGGACCAGUAACUUCCGUGAAAAGGUCAGUUAAAUAUCCGAAAGGGCAUGCAUGCAUGCAUCGGCAGCAUCUUUUGCCGAUGUGGGGGAAAUCUCCAGUGAACAGAUUUAUAGCGGAUCAGAUUGUAAGAACUCUUCGGACUAUUUAUAAUUAAAUAUCUGAAAGGACAUGCUUCAGUUUAACUGAUAUUAAACAGACGACAAAACCUGACACUAACCGCAUUCAUUAUUAAGCUGGAGCAGCCCAUGUAUUGGUUUAUCAGCACGGGAUUUAUUACUAGGCUAAAAAGCACAAAUCAGUUCUUAGCUGUACCGGCGAUCUCCCUUGGUGACCCCAUCCCAAAAAACAAAUAGUUUGGCUGAGAUAAAACAGUGACGCUGGUACUUUCUUAAAGUGACACUUCCGUGUUGAACAGAAGUAAAAAAUAAAUUUGGUCUGGUCUAUACUAUGUCUGACCUUGGUCUGGUCUAUAAUAUGUCUGACCUUGGUCUGGUCUAUACUAUGUCUGACCUUGGUCUGGUCUACAAUAUGUCUGACCUUGGUCUAGUUUAUACUAUGUCUGACCUUGGUCUGGUCUAUACUAUGUCUGACCUUGGUCUAGUCUCUAUUAUGUCUUGAAAGGAUAGAUAUUUGAUAGAUAAAUUUACAAGACAUCCUAUUUUUAAUCCUUGCUAUGGUUUAUAUAUAUGUAUUGCUUUUGAAACUUUUCCUAAUUUCUCUGUGCAUAUUGAUCAACCUUUUGAUUAAGUGUUUUAUAAGAAAAUUUUGUCAAAUAUGGAAAGGAUUUUUUUUUUUUUUUAUUUUUUUUUUUAUUUUUAUUUUUUUACAAAAUUGGAUAUAUAUAGAUCUGAUGCUAUUCUAAAACAAACAAAAAAUAACAUUAGAAAUAUUUGUAUUCAAACUAACUUCUUUGAACCAAUGUUACACUUGGAUGCAAUAAACAUUUAAUCGUAUCGAUGUAUUUGAAAAAAAAAUAUAUAGAAAUAAAAAAUAAAACACUACUUUCAUUAUACAUGUUUAAUGGUUUAAUUUCAAUCCAUGUGAAUGGUAAAUGCUUAUAAGAUUACCCAUAUUAGGUAUAUGAUACAAGCUUUUUUCAACAGAGAAAACAUGUUAUGCUUCUUAGGAUACGUACUUGAAUUGAUAAUCUGUGAAAAAAUAUUGACACCUGCAUCUGCUGUAUAACUAGCCAAUACAUCUCUGACCGGACAAAGCAAAACUGUUAAAUAUAAUGGAAGUGUGGUCCCUAAAAUCAAGGAACAAAACUUUCAAGCUGUUCUUAUAUCAAAUUACCGUAACUACAGUACAACAACAUCGAUAAUAUCUUAUCAAGAGACACUACAUGUGCCCAACGUAUUGCUUUCCUUUUUGAAGGAAAGCAACUUGUUAUGAAUGUUUGAGGUAUGAGAAAUAAGAAAUGCCACAGAAUGUCGUUAAUGAAAACAGAUCUUACUGGAAAUGCAUAAUAAUAAUUGCAAAAACAUGUGUACAAUUAUGAUAAGCUUGUUUUGCAUGAGAUAAAUUUUCGCUCAGUAGCCGGGGUCAUACAGAGACGAAAGAACAGCGGACAGAAUGAAUAGCAUACAGAUAAAAAAAAGGUGAAUUGCCCCCAUCGCAACCUUAAACUGUUUUACUUUUUCCUUUUCUCCACCUCUCUACCAUUUUUUCAGUGUAUAUGUGUAUAUGUGUAUAUGUAUAUAGAAAAAAUAUUCAAUUUCAAUUCCAUUGACUUAAACAUUGAUGGCAAAAGGAUCAGACACCAAGCAGAGCCUAUUCAAGUCAUCUCCAAAGCAUACCAUUUAACAUAUUUAGUCAUUAGAUAAAUGAUAAAUAUUACAGUUCACAUUGUAGUGCAAGGGAGACAAAAAAAAAAAAAAAAAUAAGUGAGAGUAGUAAAAACAGUCCAUGGUCAAAGGCCAGAGGGAAGCCAAUCAGAUUUGUUUUGGGUCAUAAAUGACCAAUCGGAUACUUAGAAAGUGGUUUCACACUGCGGUUUGUAAACAAAAACAAUACCACUACUACGAAUUUUACCACGUUCCAUAUUUGUUGUCAAACAAGCGUAAUUAUUGGAUGAAAUGUUAAUUAUUAACAGAUUUUUGAUUCUCACCUAAAACAAAUGAAACGAAGACAAACAUCCGCUGAAUACCUGGUUGUCAACCAUAACUGUCUGUUUGUAAUAACUGUCAAUGCAUAACUAGCUGUCAACCAUAUAGUUAGCUGUUUACAGUAACUGUCUGUCCACAAAAAACCUAGUUAUCCACCAUAACUAGCUGUUUAGAAAACUGUCUGUGCACAAAAUCAAGCUGUCCAGCAUAACUAGGUGACCACCAUAACAAAAUUUUAACCAUAACUAUCUUUCAACCAUGACUAGUUGUUUACAAUAAUUGUCUGUCCACAAAAACUAAGUGUCAGCCAUAAGUAGCUGUUUACAAUACCUGUCUGUCCACAAUAACUAGCUGUCAACCUUUACUAGCUGUUAACAAUACCUGUCUAUCCACAAUAACUAGCUGUCCAGGAAAACUAGCUGUCAACCUUCACUAGCUGUUUACAAUAACUGUCUGUCCACAAUAACUAGCUGUCCAGGAAAACUAGCUGUUCACCAUGACUAGCUGUUUACAUUAAUUGUCUGUCUACAAAAAAUAGUUGUCAAUCAUAAGUAGGUGUCCACUAUAACUAAAUUUCAACAAUAACUGGCUGUUUACAAAAAAUAACAGUCCACAUUACUUGCUGUCCACCAUAACUAGCUGUCAACCAUAACUAUAUGAUUACAAUAAAUGUCUGUCCACAAAGACUUGCGGUCCAGCAUAACUAGGUGUCAACCAUAAGUAGCUGUUUACAAAAAAUGUCUGUCUACAAAGACUUGCGGUCCAACAUAAUUAACUGUGUACCAAAAGUAGCUGUUUGCAAUAAUUGUCUGUCCACAAAAAAAACCUGUCAACCAUAAUUAGCUGUUUUCAAUAAAUGUCUGUCCACAAAAACUUGCUGUUGAUAAUAAUUGUCUGUCCACAAAAGCUUGCUCUCCUCUAUAAUUAGCUGUUCAUAAUAACAAGCUGUCCACAAAAAUUAGCUCUACAUCAUAGCGAUAACUAGCUGCCAACAUAGCUAAAUAAUCACGUUCAGCCGACGAAGGUAGGCUGGUUAUACAUAAUUUAUUAGGAUUUUCAACUUGAUUUUAAUUACUCUUUUAUCCAGUUGAGGUUUGAAUGAUAAGGGGUGAUUUGAAUGAACCCAAUUUAAAGAAGAUGGUUGCUCUAGUUAUACUUUUUAAAGUGGUGUUUACCUGUCAUCAUUUCCUGUAUGAAUAAUAGCUAAUAAUAAAGUAUAGAUUGGUGUGUUGAGACCAAGCAGUGCAAUAUGCAGUGACAUGCUUUCUUAUCACUAAAUCGAUACUAAACAUGCUUCCGUCAUCAAGUAUUUUCUGUGAAAGAGGCACAGAAGAUUUUGUUGACAUAACAUAAAACAUGGGAAGGAUGUGAUAAGAGAUUGUUAAGUUCUAAAUCGAUAUUCCCGAUUUUGCUGAAAUUACUAGUAUAAUGCACAUUGACACGUUAGAAAAAAGGUAGAAUAUCAACAUCUAUAUUAUACAUUUAAUUUUAUCGUGGAAUCACAUAAUGAAAUGAAUCUAUUUGUCUUUGAGAGGAUAGUGAUAUCCAAUAAUUUAACCCAUGUUUAUAAAAUUUUCAGGAAUCGAGAUCACCGACCAAUAAAUUUAAGCAGAAAAUUGAAACAAUUCUUCAAAUUUAUUUGAACCAUCAAGGUAGACCCAUGAUCCAUGUCAUUAGAAACAAAUAAACAACAGAGAUUACUAUUGUCAAAUAGACAAGUGUAGACACAGAAUAUAGUAACAUUCCUAUCCCGGUUUCGUUAAUUAUGUGGUCAGGUUACACUGUGGUACCACACUCGCCCCUAACCUAAGUGCCGAUGUUCCAUUGCCCGAUCGUAUGUUGAAAGGUAUGUCUAACCAUAAGGGUUUUCACUAGAUAUUCCCGGUUUCUUCUCACAGUAGGUCCUUCGUAGGGUUAACAACAGUGAUUAAUAUAUGUUGAUAUAACUAGAUAUGUGCACUUGUAAAGUAAAUAAAGUGAAGAUAACGCUAAUUAUGUUGUUCAAGCACUAAAUUGUCUUUGCCAUUACAAAAUAAGUCCUAUUGUGUGGAUAGCUUGUUUUACUUACGGGGUCAAACAAACCGCAAAAAAGAAUAGCAGAAUAUUUCAUUGCUGUUAAUGUUCUCCCAUGGGGAGCCCUGCUACAUAUGUAAGAGGAAGGAAUAGGCGAUGGCUUGCAUCCGAUGUGACAUAUAUAUCAGCUUGAUGAACAUGGUGGCCAAGCCGUCGUGAAAUUCUAAGUACAUACUAACUUUUAAUCUCGAUAUAUUUCGUUUUCGGCAGUGAGGUGUUUACUAUUUUUUAGUAUUCCGCGAAAUUUGUUGACGAUAGUUGUAUUAGAGAAUCUAGAGCAGCCAGGAUAUUAUUAAUUGUUAGAGAUAUUCUUACUCCCUCCAAAUCCCUCUUUGAAAAAUUAAAAUGGAUGCCAAUUGCAGACUUUUACGAUUUUAGAAAAAUGGUUUUGUGUUACAAAAUUUUACAUUGUGAAUCACCAGGUAUUUUAACAAACAUGUUUUCUUAUGUAAAAAAUGUGAAUGGCAGAAACACUAGAUCUUCUAUAUCAAACAAAUUGUAUGUUCCAACAGCCAGAACAAACUAUUUCAAACGUUCAUUUGUAUAUACAUGUUCAAUUUUAUGGAACGAAGCUAAUGAUACUAUUAGAGACUCAGUUAGUAUUGGGAUUUUUAAAACUAGAUACCUGCAGCUUUACUUCUCAAAAUCUUAGCUAUAUAUAUAUAUAUAUAUAUACUGCAAUAUUUUAUAAAUUA